rnacentral:misc_RNA from 1 species
UCCCAUCCCCAACAUAUACAACCUCGGUCCCCUCCAACUGACCAACGUGUUCAAUUAUUGUGAAGGCAUCAGCUAUUAUUUGGCAAGGAUGGUUGUAGUCAGUCAGGCCAUUAAUAACCGGUACGGUUGCAUACUUUGCCAGAUCAAGAAUAUCCAGCAUGCCUGAUGAGCAAAAACGCGUGCCAUGAUUACAUCAUUAUAG